UACGUAGGGUGCAAGCGUUGUCCAGAAUUAUUGGGCGUAAAGAGCUCGUAGGCGGUUUGUCGCGUCUGGUGUGAAAAUCCAGGGCUUAACCCUGGACCUGCAUCGGGUACGGGCAGACUAGAGUGCGGUAGGGGAGAUCGGAAUUCCUGGUGUAGCGGUGAAAUGCGCAGAUAUCAGGAGGAACACCGGUGGCGAAGGCGGAUCUCUGGGCCGUAACUGACGCUGAGGAGCGAAAGCAUGGGGAGCGAACAGG
rnacentral:rRNA from 1 species